GGACUGCUUGCUCACCAGGACUUGCAUAAUUCUGAUGAACUGGUCAGCAGCUCAAGAAUGAAACUCUCCCCACAGAGAACCGUGACACCCCAACUCCAGGCAACACCCCAUCCCUCUAGAAUCUGGAGAGGUUUAGCGUCUCCUCCAGAUUUCCUAGCGACACCCCGCGGACGUGAUCCCGCUGUCAAACAAUAGCUCUUCUUACUCUGGACGCCGGGGAGCGACCGGGCUGCCCUGUCAAGCUGCUCGUGUAACAAAACCCAGCUUCCUUCUUAUCUUGUCUGCCCCGGCAAACAGCAGACCCCAAAGGAGGUGAACCGAGGACCCCAAUUAGCGACACCCGAAAAUCGCUUUGGUGUAAACGGAAAGCAACUGGUUUUCUUUUACAAGGGGAAGGCCACCGAGUGUCACUUCUGUUCUUUCCUGUGUUUUACCACCAAAUGCCAGCACUUCUGAAAGAGACUGUCUUGAUAUUUCAUAUGACGUGUCGAGGCUGCACGCUGAGGCCGCAGGAAGACAAAUGAGCCGGCUCUGCACGAGGCGACGGGGACCCCACGACCGGCAGCGCCUGCCCACGAGGAAACCGGGCUGCAGGGUUUGGGGGCCUGCACGCCGCCAUUCCUGCCCCUACGAGCUGCGUCUGCCCUCUCUGGACCCAGGUUCCCUGUCCAUCAGACGGCGCCAGUGAUAAGCUGCCCUCCUAGGGGCGGUCAGUGAGACGUCAACUCACAAACGUGUUCAGACAGCUGCUUCUCACUUCUCCAUGAGGGUCGAUGGUGGUGUUGCUGUUUUAUUUGGCCAAAAAAAAAAAAGGGAAAAAAGGAGUGGGACA